rnacentral:rRNA from 1 species
CCUACGGGGCGCAGCAGUGAGGAAUAUUGGUCAAUGGGCGGGAGCCUGAACCAGCCAAGUCGCGUGAGGGAAGACGGUCCUAUGGAUUGUAAACCUCUUUUGUCGGGGAGCAAAGAGGCCACGUGUGGUCAAAAGCGAGAGUACCCGAAGAAAAAGCAUCGGCUAACUCCGUGCCAGCAGCCGCGGUAAUACGGAGGAUGCGAGCGUUAUCCGGAUUUAUUGGGUUUAAAGGGUGCGUAGGCGGAUUUUUAAGUCAGCGGUAAAAUGUCCGGGCUCAACCCGGGCCAGCCGUUGAAACUGGGGAU